CCUACGGGAGACAGCAGUGGGGAAUAUUGCACAAUGGGGGAAACCCUGAUGCAGCGACGCCGCGUGAGUGAAGAAGUAUUUCGGUAUGUAAAGCUCUAUCAGCAGGGAAGAAAAUGACGGUACCUGAUUAAGAAGCCCCGGCUAACUACGUGCCCGCAGCCGCGGUAAUACGUAGGGGGCAAGCGUUAUCCGGAUUUACUGGGUGUAAAGGGAGCGUAGACGGCAGCACAAGUCUGGAGUGAAAUGCCCGGGCUUAACCCCGGAACUGCUUUGGAAACUGUGCAGCUAGAGUGCAGGAGAGUGUAGUGGAAUUCCUAGUGUAGCGGUGAAAUGCGUAGAUAUUAGGAGGAACACCAGUGGCGAAGGCGGCUUACUGGACUGUAACUGACGUUGAGGCUCGAAAGCGUGGGGAGCAAACAGGAUUAGAUACCCCUGUAGUC
rnacentral:rRNA from 1 species